AUUGAACGCUGGCGGCAGGCCUAACACAUGCAAGUCGAGCGAGCGGCGGACGGGUGAGUAUUGUAUGGGGACUGCCCGAUAGAGGGGGAUAACUACUGGAAACGGUAGCUAAUACCGCAUACUAUCGGAUAACCCAUAUGGGAUGAGCUAGUAGGUGAGGUAAGGGCUCACCUAGGCGACGAUCGCUAGCUGGUCUGAGAGGAUGAUAAGCGACACUGGGACUGAGAUGGGGGCCAGAAUCGUACGGAGGAAGCAGUGGGGAAUAGUGCACAAUGGGCGCAAGCCUGAGGCAGCCAGGCGGCGUGUAUGAAGAAGGCCCUAGGGGUGUAAAGUACUGUCAGUCGGGAGGAGUUACGGGCAGAAGAAGCACCGGCUAACUACGUGCCAGCAGCCGCGGUAAUAC
rnacentral:rRNA from 1 species